CUACGGGCCGCUCCAGUGGGGGAUAUUGCACAAUGGGGGAAACCCUGAUGCAGCAACGCCGCGUGAAGGAAGACGGAUUUCGGUCUGUAAACUUCUAUCAGCAGGGAAGAAAAUGACUGUACCUGACUAAGAAGCCCCGGCUAACUACGUGCCAGCAGCCGCGGUAAUACGUAGGGGGCAAGCGUUAUCCGGAUUUACUGGGUGUAAAGGGUACGUAGGCGGCUGAUUAAGUCAGAUGUGAAAGCCCGAGGCUCAACCUCGGGACUGCAUUUGAAACUGGUUGGCUAGAGUACAGGAGAGGAAAGUGGAAUUCCUAGUGUAGCGGUGAAAUGCGUAGAUAUUAGGAAGAACACCAGUGGCGAAGGCGGCUUUCUGGACUGUAACUGACGCUGAGGUACGAAAGCGUGGGGAGCGAACAGGAUUAGAUACCCCCGUAGUC
rnacentral:rRNA from 1 species